AGAAAAACAUUGAUGAAGACAAGUUACACAGGAAGAUUUCUUUCAGAGAGUUGCCGGCUGGUGUAAGACAACAGAAAACCUGAUGUAAUAUCCCUUCGGAGUAUCCGCUCUGAAAAUAGAGUAAGAGCAGACGGCACUCACCGUUAUCGGAGAUCUGUUAUCACCGGAAAACCGGCUGACAGUACAAAAGAGAUUGUCACUAUGACAAUAAAGCAGAGUGGUACCGCGGAAAAGAUUCGUCCCUGCA
rnacentral:ncRNA from 1 species